GGCCUCUGCCUAUGCAGGCCCACAGGGCUUCCCUGGCUCCUCAAACCAUACUGAUUUAAUAGAGCUUAAUGUGGCCCAACUUUCAUGCCACUUCUGUAACCCUCUCUGAGGGGCUGAGGGUGAGGGCACAAAAAAACUUUUGAUCAGUGAAUCAGAUAUGGAGGUUUACUAAGUGCAUAGGAUAAUGCUAUUUUAUUACUUUGUUAAAAUAUUUAAUUAGUUAAUGCAUUCACAUGUAUUAAAGUUCAAAAGGGCAUUAAAAGGGACAUUUUCCUCUCACCUGUGUUCCCAGCCACCAGUACCCUAUUCCUAGAAGCAAAUACUGUUACUGGUUUUUCAUGUAUUUUCCUAUCACUAUGUUAUGGCAGACACUGUUGGUUGAACCCUAAAAUCCAUUCUGUUUUCUUUUUUUAGGGAUAGAGUCACCAAAGUUUGGCAACAUAUAAAGCCAUCCAUGAGAAAGACUACAUUUCCCUACCACUCUUGCAGGCUCCGGAUGCGCAGGCUCAGCGGCCAUGGCUCACGGGCCCAGCUGCUCCGCGGCAUGUAGGAUCUUCCCGGACCGGGGCACGAACCCACAUCCCCUGCAUCGGCAGGCAGACUCUCAACCACUGAGCCACCAGGGAAGCCCAUGAUCAGUGAUCUUUGAUGCUACUAUUGCAAAAAGAGUAUGACUUGCAGAAGGCUCAGAUGAUGCUUAGCAUUUUUUAGCAAUAUUUUUUAAUUAAGUAAUCUGAAGCUGAACCCACAAUAUCUCCAAGGAAUGGAUGUACGGACCUUAGUCCUGGCCAAUGGGAUGUGAGCAAAAGUGAUAUGUGCUUCUUCCAGGUCAUACCUUAAGGGAAAGAAGUAUGUUUAGCAUUUGACAAAAUUCAACAUCCUUUCAUGAUAAAAACUCAACAAAUUAAGUAUGGAAGGAUUAUUCCUCACCAUAAUAAAGACCAUAUAUGACAAGCCCAUAGCUAACAUCAUACUCAAUGGUGUAAAGUUAAAAGCCUCUCCUCUGAGAUCAGGAGCAAGACAAGGAUGCCCACCAUCACCAUUUCUAUUCAACAUAGUACUGCAAAUCUUAGUCAUAGCAAUUAGGCAAAAAAAAAAGAAAUAAAAGUCAUCCAAAUCAGAAAGAAAGAAGUAAAAGUAUCUCUGUUUGCAGAUGACAUGAUAUAGAAAACCCUGAAGACCACCAAAAAAACUGCUAAAACUGAUAAAUAAAUUCAGUAAAGUUGCAGGAUACAAGAUCAACAUACAGAAAUCAAUUGCAUUUCUAUACACUAACAACAAACUAUCUGAAAGAGAAAGAAAGCAAUCUAAGCUUUCUAAGUUAAUAGACAUCUAAGCUAAUAGACAUCUAUAGAACACUGCAUACAACAACUGCAGAAUACAUUCUUCUCAAGUGCCUAUGAAACAUUCUUCAGUAGAGACCAUAUGUUAGGCAAUCAGAUAAGUCUUAAAAAAUUAAAAGAAUUGAAAUCAUACAAAAAGUUUGUUCUCUGACCACAAUGGAAUGAAAUUAGAAAUCAUUACCAGAAGGAAAUUUGAGGAAUUCACAAUUAUGUGGAUAUUAAACAACAUACUCCUAAAUAACCAAGAGGUCAAAGAAGAAAUCACAAGGGAUAUUAGGAAAUAUUUUGAGAUUAAUGAAAACAAAAACACAGCAUACCAAAAUUUAUGCAACCAACACAGUGCGCAGAUGGAAAAUUAUAGCUGUAUACAUCUAUAUUUUAAAAAGAAAGAUUUCAAAUCAAUAACCUAACCUUACACCUCAAGACACUAGAAAAAGAAGAGCAAACCAAACCAGACACAAACAGAAGGAAGGAAAUAAUAAAGAUUAGUGCCAAAAUAAAUGAAAUAGAGAGUAGAAGAAAUAUAGAGAAGAAAUCAACAAAACCAAAAGUUGAUUCUUUGAAAGGAUCAACAAAAUUGACAAAUCUUUAGCUAGACUAGUAAAAAAGUAAAAGACUCAAGUUGUUAAAAUCAUUAAUAAAAGAAGGGCCAUUAUUUUAUUUUCAGAAAUAAAAUGAUUAUAGCAAAAAAAUAAAGCAAUCGCAUUUACAAUAGCAUCCCCAAAAAACAAAAUAUUUAGGAAUAAAUUGAACAAAGGAGGUGAAAGACCUGUACACUGAUAAGUAUAAGACAUUGAUGAAAGAGACUGAAGAAGACACAAAUAAGAAGAAGACACAAAUAAAUGGAAAGAUAUUCCAUAUUCCUGGAUUGGAAGAAUUAAUAUUGUGAAAAUGUCCAUCCUGCCCAAAGGAAUUUACAGAUUCAAUGCAAUCCCCAUCAAAUUUCCAAUGGCAUUUUUUAAGGAUAUAGGAAAAACUAUCCUAAAACCCCAAUUGGCAAAGCAAUCCUAAGAAAGAACAAAUCUGGAGGCAUCACACUUCUUGAUUUUGCACUAUAUUACAAAGCUAUAGUAAUCAAAAUAGUAUGGUACUGGCAUAAAACAGGCACAUAGACCAGUGGAACAGAAUAGACAACAGAUGACAUGAUAAUCUAUAUGGUUUUAAAAUAGAUAUCAAGUUGAGGAAGAUCCCCUCUUUUCCUGUUUACUGAGGAGUUUUAUUAUGAGUAGGUUUUGGAUUUUGUCAAAUGCUUUUUCUGCAUCUAUUGAUUUGAUCAUGUGGCUUUUUUCUUUAGCCUGUUGAUAAGAUAGGUUACAUGAAUUGAUUUUUUAAUGUUGAACCAGCCUUACAUACUAGGAUAAAUCCCACUUAAUUGUGGUGUAUAAUUCUUUUUAUAUAUUGUUGAAUUUGAUUUGCUAAUAUUGUGUUGAUUUUUGCAUCCACGUUCAUGAGAGCUAUUGGUCUGUAGUUUUCUUGUAAUGUCUUUGUCUGGUAUUGGUAUUAGGGUAAUGCUGGUAUCAUAGAAUGAGUUAGGAAGUAUUCACUCUGCGUCUGUCUUCUGAAAGAAAUUGUAGAAAAUUGGUAUAUUUUCUUAUUUAUUUAUUUAUUUAUUUA